AUGUUCCUAACUGCACAGGACCUGUUGAGGAGCCAAGAGUAUAUCAGCCCAGCUGUAUGGACUGCUUUAAUUGAGCCACAUGGUUCUCAGUUGUUUACACAACCUUCUGGAGCACUUGUGGACCAAGCUUGUAUCUGCCCACAAGAGAGCAAGGAGAGGAUUCACACCAGUCCAUUCACUCUGUGCCACUCCACGUGGCUGUUCCUCCCCGUUCAUGAGAAGUUGCUGCAAAUGAGCCAGUGCCCUCUUCCAUUCCCCCAGGAUGUUGUACAGAAGAAAAGCCCACACACAGGUGUGCUGAAAGGCAUGUUGCUGAAGUCAUAUCCCUGCUAA
rnacentral:lncRNA from 1 species